GUAAGAGACCUCUAAAUUCUACCCUGCUCCUGUUUACUGCUUGAAUCUCUAGCAAGUGGUGGACCAGGAUUUUCUUGAGUGCUUCUGGUGAUGGGGAAUUCACUACCUCAUGAGAGAAGUCAUUCAUCUUGAGAAGGCUUUGUUCUGACUUCUAAAAUUUCUUUUUUGUGCUUAGGUGAAAUGCUUGAAGAGUCCAUUAGAACAGCUCUAAUCCCUGUGGCCAUACUGAAUGUGGCUAAUUCCUUUUAUGUAUGAAAUCUCUUGGAGAAGGCAAUGGCACCCCACUCCAGCACUCUUGCCUGGAAAAUCCCAUGGACGGAAGAGCCUGGUGGGCCACAGUCCAUGGGGUCAUUAAGAGUCGGACAAGACUCAGCGACUUCACUUUCACUUUUCACUUUCAUGCAUUGGAGAAGGAAAUGGCAACCCACUCCAGUGUUCUUGCCUGGAGAAUCCCAGGGACAGGGGAGCCUCAUGGGCUGCCGUCUAUGGGGUCGCACAGAGUCAGACACGACUGAAGCGACUUAGCAGCAGCAGCAGCAGCAUGAAAUCUCUCCCUCAGAAGAUGACCACGAUGGUCACCCAAGUCCUCUCUUCUAUGGAGAGAAGCAGCCCCACUUCUUCAGCUGUUCUCUCACUGUCCGAUUAUUUCCUUCUGAUGAGGCUGCAGUUUCUCUGUGGCUUUUGUUACGUGCAGGGGACACCUGUCGUUUCAUGGCCACCCAUCAUCUUUCUCUAUUUGUAGAAAUCCACGGUUUAGGUCCUGUCUCCCUAAUGCGGCACUGGAGUUGCUUGCUGCUGGGAACCCUGAUUCAUCCAGGCCCUCACUGGACACACAGCUCCAGCAGGGAUCCCUCCAGAGCACAGAGAACCAUCCCAGCCAUCCUGCUUCUACUGACGAAGCCUGGACCCAGAUUAACUCUCCUGAGUGACCAUGCCACACACCUGACUCACAUUAAAUUUAACGGUCAACUGAAACCCUCACACUUCUGGGGCAGGGACUCACUCCCUGGUCCAGGGAAUUUCUAGGAAAACAGACUUUAUGUAGUUCCUUAUUACUUGUUCAAUGGAAAAUGGUGUCUGAGCUUCCCCCCACCCCCAACCACGAUAUUUAAUGUAUGAGAGUGAUGCCUUUGAAGUGCU
ensembl:lncRNA